rnacentral:rRNA from 1 species
UACGGGGGGAGCAAGCGUUGUUCGGAUUUACUGGGCGUAAAGGGCGCGUAGGCGGUCGUGACAAGUCACUUGUGAAAUCUCCGGGCUUAACUCGGAACGGCCAAGUGAAACUGUCAAGCUAGAGUGCAGAAGGGGCAAUCGGAAUUCUUGGUGUAGCGGUGAAAUGCGUAGAUAUCAAGAGGAACACCUGAGGUGAAGACGGGUGCUGGGCUGACACGUGACGCUGAGGCGCGAAAGCCAGGGGAGCAAACGGG